ACACAGAGGAAAGAAACCUUUCCUUCUCCACCCCUGGGUGGUAGAAGAUGAUUUCUCCUCCAGAGACAUAAAAACAACAGGUGCUCAUCAGACAGAAUCUUAAAUUCAAGCUGGUUGGCAUCCAACUUCUCAAGUGUUGUUUGUCAGAAUUAAAUGAAGAAUCAUGGAAAGUGGUUCACCUAGUGUACAGCUAUUCACAAAGUUGUUGUCUACGGCCAUACCACCCUGAAAGCACCCAAUCUCAUCUGAUCUCGGAAGCAACUGCAAUUUUAUACACUUGUAGAAGUCACAGACACAUACUGGAAUUUCAGCUUCCCCGAUUCUAAGACAAGCUUGUCUCCAAAGGCAGUCAGAAGGAACCUUUGGGCAGAGAUUUUUCCCCAAAGACCCUACCUGAUCAAAAGAGCGUGUCUUCAGUCUUCAAGGAGGCUGGCUUCUCAUGCACUGAAUCCUCGCCUCUUCCACCACUGGUUCCCGGGCUCAGGUUCAGGAGGAAGUGCGGGAUGUGCGAAAAGGGAAGUCGAAGGUGUUUCCCACCUAGUAGCUCCAAGUGAACAGUAUUGGAAAUUAUGCCCUAAAGAGAAGAUUGUUCACUAAGAGAAUCCACAGAAAAGGAAGAAAUAUGUCUCCCCACAUACACAUAAAUCUCAACAUAGAAAC
rnacentral:lncRNA from 1 species